GUCCACGCCGUAAACGAUGAUCACUAAACGUUAACUUUGCUUUGCGAAGUUAGUGUUGUAGCUAACGCGUUAAGUGGUCCGCCUGGGGAUUACGGUCGCAAGACUAAAACUUAAAGGAAUUGACGGGGGUCCGCACAAGCGGUGGAACAUGUGGUUUAAUUCGACACUACGCGAGGAACCUUACCUAGGCUUGACAUGUAUGUGACAGCCGUAGAAAUACGGUCUUCUGGGCUUUGCUCAGACAGAUACACAGGUGCUGCAUGGCUGUCGU
rnacentral:rRNA from 1 species